AUGGCCGCGGCGGCGGCGAGGUGCAUGAACGCGGCGUGCGGCGCGCCGGCCCCGACGGCGGCGGGGGUGGGCGAGUGGCGGAAGGGCUGGCCGCUGCGAUCCGGCGGCUUCGCCGUGCUCUGCGACAAGUGCGGGUUGGCGUUCGAGCAGCUUGUCUUCUGCGAUAUAUUCCACCAAAAGGAGUCUGGUUGGAGGGACUGUUCGUUUUGUGGGAAGCGUCUCCAUUGCGGCUGUGUUGCUUCGAAGAAUUCCUUUGAUCUGCUUGACAGCGGAGGAGUUCAAUGCGUGAAUUGCAUGAAGAAUCCAGGACCUCAACCUGUUCCAUGUCAAGUGGCUCCAAAGCUUUUUUUACCUCCUCAAAAUAACCAGAGACUCUUUGGUAAAAGCGAUGAAUUUUUGCCAGGUAGACCGUUGGAGUCGCCGUCCCUUAUGCUCGAUUCCAGAAAUGAUGAUAUUGCUAUUAUAGCUAAGAGCAAUCAUCCAUUCAUGGUAAAAAACUUGGAAAUUGGGCAAAGCAGUAACAUUUUGAGGCAAAAGGAAAUUGAAAAUGGCGCAAGGCAGAUUAAGUGGGAGCAACCAACACUCAGUAUUGGGGACAUGGGAAGGAUGCCUUUCUUAAUUAGGCCUCAGAGUGCAUUAGAGUCUCCCCAAUCCCAGUGUACACGAAGAGAUGAUAAUAGAGACCCGACAGCCGAUAGCACAACAAGUGAAUCAAUUUCAGAGGCAGGCCUCAGUAUGAGCUUGGGCAUUGCUAAUAAUGGAAACAAGAUGGAGGCUACUUCAACUAUGGAAAGACCCAUGGUGUCACCAACAACACCGUUUUCUGAAGGAAGAGAACUUGCCACUACAUUAUCUCCAUUUCAGCAUGCGCAGAGGGCUCGGCAUUUUCUCACCAGACCACCAAGGGUUGCCGAAGGUGCUGCUUUCGACCCAAUGAGAGAUGGUUUUCCACAUCUUCGUGUUGCCAGACCACCUGCUGAAGGAAGGGGUCGCAAUCAAUUACUUCCACGGUAUUGGCCAAGAAUAACAGAUCAAGAGCUGCAGCAAAUUUCUGGAGAUUCGAAUUCAACCAUCGUUCCACUGUUUGAGAAGGUUCUAAGUGCUAGUGAUGCAGGCCGCAUAGGACGACUUGUUCUUCCAAAAGCCUGUGCCGAGGCCUAUUUCCCACCAAUCUCUCAGCCAGAAGGUCGUCCCUUGACAAUUCAAGAUGCAAAAGGCAAAGAGUGGCAUUUUCAGUUCAGAUUCUGGCCAAAUAACAACAGCAGAAUGUAUGUCUUGGAGGGUGUUACGCCAUGCAUACAGUCCUUACAAUUACAAGCUGGUGAUACAGUGACCUUCAGUCGGAUAGAACCUGGAGGGAAACUUGUUAUGGGCUUCCGAAAGGCCACAAACACUGUCAGUUUGCCAGACUCACAGAUUUCAGCCAUUGCAACUGGUUCCCUUCUCGGUGAUUCAUUCUUUUCUAACACAAAUGAGAAUCUAUCCAUAGCAGAUAGAUUUGGUGGCAGGCCAGAUGAGGGGUCUUUUCAGUUUUUACACAAAAGAAGCCGCAAUAUUGGUUCCAAAAGCAGGAGGCUUUUGAUGGAUAACGAGGAGGCCCUGGAACUGAAGCUUUCCUGGGAAGAGGCACAGGAGUUGUUGCGUCCUGCUCCAUCUGCAAAACCAACAAUUGUGAUGAUUGAGGACUAUGAAUUUGAAGAAUAUGAUGAACCUCCUGUCUUUGCAAAGAGAUCAAUUUUCACCAGUCGUUCUACAGGGGAACAAGACCAAUGGAUUCAGUGUGAUGAUUGCUCAAAAUGGCGUCGUGUGCCUCUUAAUGUCAUUAUUGCCUCCAAGUGGAGAUGUGCUGACAACACAUGGGAUCCAAAAAGCUGUUCCUGCUCUGCACCUGAAGAAUUAGCCCACAAGGAGUUACAAAGUAUUCUCCAGCAGUACGAAGAGAUCAGGAGGCGGAAGAGCAACUAUUUCUUGAAGCAGAGCAUCCCCGAAAUGGAUGCGUCGAGCCUUGACGCCUUGGCCACUGCCGCAGUCUUUGGGGAGGUCGGGAACCAAGGCGCUGCUUCGGUUGCAACGACCACCAAGCACCCCCGGCACCGGCCCGGCUGCACUUGCAUAGUGUGCAUCCAGCCGCCCAGCGGCAAGGGGCCGAAGCACAACCCGGCGUGCACUUGCAACGUGUGCAUGACCGUCAGGCGCCGUUUCAAGACGCUCAUGAUGAGGAAGAAGCAACGGCAGUCGGAGCGAGAGGAGGCCGAGGCGAGCAAGAGGAUCGCUUGGGUGGGCAGGGACGAGCCCGAGGGAAGCAACCUGUCGCGGUCCCCCCGGACGGUGGACACCACGCGGGACUGCGACGUGAUCAUGUUCGACAAGGCCGACGCGAACAAGGGCCACAUAGACCUCAACUUCCACCCCGCCAGCCGCGAGGAGGAGCAGCAGCACGGCGGCCAGCCCCGGGUGAGCAUGGUCAGCCUACUUGAGGUCGCGAACCGCCCCCUGGAGAGCUACAUGAAGCAGAACGGCCUCGUGAGCCUGGCGGCGGAGCAGGGGAGCAGCUCCGGCACGGCCACGGUCCCGUCUCAGCCCGCUCCGAUGGAGAGCGAAGAGCGGCCCUCCGACGAGGGGCGUGCCGUGGCGGUGGAGCAGGAGCGAGAGCCCGUGGACAACAUGGCCGUGGACGAGGCAGCCGGUGAGAACCAGGGCCAUGCUGCCAGUGCCAGUGACAUCGCUGCUGCCUGA
rnacentral:rRNA from 1 species